AGCCCUACGGGGGGCAGCAGUGAGGAAUAUUGGUCAAUGGGCGGGAGCCUGAACCAGCCAAGCCGCGUGAAGGAAGAAAGCGCCAGGCGUCGUAAACUUCUUUUGUCGGGGAACAAAGGGCGCCACGCGUGGCGUUGUGAGUGUACCCGAAGAAAAAGCAUCGGCUAACUCCGUGCCAGCAGCCGCGGUAAUACGGAGGAUGCGAGCGUUAUCCGGAUUUACUGGGUGUAAAGGGGGCGCAGACGGCGAUGCAAGCCAGGAGUGAAAGCCCGGGGCCCAACCCCGGGACUGCUCUUGGAACUGCG
rnacentral:rRNA from 1 species